UACGUAGGGGGCAAGCGUUGUCCGGAAUCAUUGGGCGUAAAGAGCGCGUAGGCGGCCAGAUAAGUCCGCUGUGAAAACUCGAGGCUCAACUUCGAGCUGUCGGCGGAAACUAUCUGGCUAGAGUCCGGAAGAGGAGAGUGGAAUUCCUGGUGUAGCGGUGAAAUGCGCAGAUAUCAGGAAGAACACCCGUGGCGAAGGCGGCUCUCUGGGACGGUACUGACGCUGAGACGCGAAAGCGUGGGGAGCGAACAGG
rnacentral:rRNA from 1 species